CCUACGGGAGGCAGCAGUGAGGAAUAUUGGUCAAUGGCCGGGAGGCUGAACCAGCCAAGUCGCGUGAGGGGAGACGGCCCUACGGGUUGUAAACCUCUUUUGUCAGGGAGCAAGGUGCAGGUCGGGACCUGCGGUGAGAGUAACUGAAGAAAAAGCAUCGGCUAACUCCGUGCCCGCAGCCGCGGUAAUACGGGGGAUGCGAGCGUUAUCCGGAUUUAUUGGGUUAAAAGGGGGCGCGGGCGGUGGCACAAGUCAGUGGUAAAAUCGAGGGGCGCAACCCCGCUGCGCCUGUGAGACUGUGUCCCUUGAGUGCGCGAAGGGUAGGCGGAAUGCGUGGUGUAGCGGUGAAAUGCAUAGAUAGCACGCAGAACUCCGAUCGCGAAGGCAGCCUACCGGCGCGCAACUGACGCUCAUGCACGAAAGCGUGGGUAUCGAACAGGAUUAGAUACCCGGGUAGUC
rnacentral:rRNA from 1 species